rnacentral:rRNA from 1 species
GUAACGGCGAGUGAAGCGGCAAGAGCUCAAAUUUUAAAUCCGGCGUUUGCAACGUCCCGAGUUGUAAUUUGGAGAGGCACCUUUGGGGACACCGCCGGACCAAGUUCCUUGGAACAGGACGUCACAGAGGGUGAGAAUCCCGUUCCCGUCUGGCUGUCUGAUCCCUUGUGAAGUGCCUUCUACGAGUCGAGUUGUUUGGGAAUGCAGCUCUAAGUGGGUGGUAAAUUUCAUCUAAAGCUAAAUAUGGGCGAGAGACCGAUAGCGCACAAGUAGAGUGAUCGAAAGAUGAAAAGCACUUUGAAAAUAGAGUUAAAAAGUACGUGAAAUUGUUGAAAGGGAAGCGCUUGAGACCAGACCCAGCCCCGAACAAACAGCCUUCCCUGCUCCAGGGAGGUGCACUUGUAUCGGGGCUGGGCCAGCGUCGGUCGGGGUGGUGGGACAAAGGCGUCGGGAAUGUGGCUCCUCUCGAGGAGUGUUAUAGCCCCGCGCGCAAUGCCACCUACCUGGACCGAGGGCCGCGCCUUGGCGAGGAUGCUGGCACAAUGGUCUUCAGCGACCCGUCUUGAAACACGGACCAAGGAGUCUAACAUCCAUGCGAGUGUUUGGGCGUCAAACCCUUGCGCGGAAUGAAAGUGAAUGCAGGUGGGACAGCUCCCCUCGCGGGGGCAUUGCACCAUCGACCGAUCCUGAUGUCCUCGGAUGGAUUUGAGUAGGAGCAUGGCUGUUGGGACCCGAAAGAUGGUGAACUAUGCCUGAAUAGGGUGAAGCCAGAGGAAACUCUGGUGGAGGCUCGCAGCGGUUCUGACGUGCAAAUCGAUCGUCAAAUUUGGG